rnacentral:rRNA from 1 species
GAUGAACGCUGGCGGCGUGCCUAAUACAUGCAAGUCGAGCGAACAGACGAGGAGCUUGCUCCUCUGACGUUAGCGGCGGACGGGUGAGUAACACGUGGAUAACCUACCUAUAAGACUGGGAUAACUUCGGGAAACCGGAGCUAAUACCGGAUAAUAUAUUGAACCGCAUGGUUCAAUAGUGAAAGACGGUUUUGCUGUCACUUAUAGAUUGAUCCGCGCCGCAUUAGCUAGUUGGUAAGGUAACGGCUUACCAAGGCAACGAUGCGUAGCCGACCUGAGAGGGUGAUAGGCCACACUGGAACUGAGACACGGUCCAGACUCCUACGAGAGGCAGCAGUAGGGAAUCUUCCGCAAUGGGCGAAAGCCUGACGGAGCAACGCCGCGUGAGUGAUGAAGGUCUUCGGAUCGUAAAACUCUGUUAUUAGGGAAGAACAAAUGUGUAAGUAACUAUGCACGUCUUGACGGUACCUAAUCAGAAAGCCACGGCUAACUACGUG